rnacentral:rRNA from 1 species
UACGUAGGUGGCAAGCGUUGUCCGGAUUUAUUGGGCGUAAAGGGAGCGCAGGCGGUGACUUAAGUCUGAUGUGAAAGCCCACGGCUUAACCGUGGAGGGUCAUUGGAAACUGGUCGACUUGAGUGCAGAAGAGGGAAGUGGAAUUCCAUGUGUAGCGGUGAAAUGCGUAGAGAUAUGGAGGAACACCAGUGGCGAAGGCGGCUUCCUGGUCUGUAACUGACACUGAGGCGCGAAAGCGUGGGGAGCAAACAGGAUUAGAUACCCCU